rnacentral:lncRNA from 1 species
AUGAAGACACGAGAAGGAGCCAUCAGGGCGGGAGCACAUGGUGGCCUGGUGCCAACACAGCAGGCCGGCGGCUCGGCCCACCAUCUGCAGCAUCCUAGGAAGCUGCGACCCUGGUGCACAGCCUUGCACGCGGUCUUCCUCACUUGCCGAGUGGCCACGGCCCAGGUCCUCUUUCUUACCACACUCAGCCUCCGUAUUUCAGUCUCGCACUCGGUCCGCAUCGCACUCCGCUCCGGGCCUCUAUCACUGCGGUGUCCUUCACACUCUCCCCUCUUCCACACUUCUGGAGUCACCCUCACCCUCGGGCUCUCACACCCUCAGGGGAAUCACCCCCAGACUCUGGGGCUCACGCGCGCGCGCUCUCCUUCAGCUGUCUUUCACACACACCGAGUCUCCUUCACACCAAGGUCUCUCCCGCACUGUCAGGGUCACCUCCCUCACGGUGUUUCUUGCACACUCACUCACAGGGCCACCCUCAGGCUCAGGGGGUCUCUCACGCUCACACACGUAGCCUCUCCCCCCCGCUCAGCCCCACACUCAGGGCUCCCCACGCUCCCGGGCCACGCUCACGCUCGCGCUCCGUCUUACACGCACAGCGUCACCCUCCGCACGUCCUCGCCGCGGCGUCCCUCACGUGCCCCCGGCCCGCCCGCCCCGCGCCCCGCGCCCCGCGCCCCGCUUGGCGGGCCCGCAACCCGCACUCGGGGGCGGCGGCGGCGGCGGCGCGGAGAGCGCGGCCCCCAGCACGCGGCCCCGGCCCGGCCCGCCCCGCGGCCCCCGCGCGCCCGCCCGCGGCCCGUUACCUCGCAGUCGCCGGGCGCCCACAGGAUGCUCCGCCGCUCGAGCGCCGCGGCCGCCGCAGCCGCUCAGGCCCCGCCCCCGCCACGUCACGCGCCGCCGGAUCGCGACAGCGCGCCCCGCGUCGGGACAGGACGCCUCGCGGCGGCGCUUCUGACCCCCGGGGCCGCCGAGGCCUCGGGGAGCGCCCGGCCUGCCCGGGAGUGCGGUCCCCGCCUCCGCGUGCGCUGGUGCCGGCGACCGGGCCCGGCCGCCCUGGCUCUGCGUGGCCGGCACAGCGCCGCGGGGCGGGCCGGGCCCUAG